UUUCAGUACAAAUAAUAUGCUGUCUAAGUAAUACAUCUAACUAAAGGACAAAAGACCCUUUGAGCUUUAUAGGGAUAAAACUUUGAUUGCAUUUUUUAGCUUAGGCCGCUCAAAGAUCUAUAUCUGAGGUGUGCCUUAAUAAAUUUAUUUAUUGGUCUUGCCUUUAAAAUAAAGAUCAAGACCACUGUUUAAUUGGGGCGAUAAA
rnacentral:rRNA from 1 species